UGGCUGUUUGUAGGAUUGUGUGUGGGCAGGUUGGCUUUGUGCAAAGCGGAAGCCUAAUGGGACCCUUGUGAAAGGAAACCGAUUGAAUUCCAACCUGGAGACGACAGCAGUUCUGUGGACUGGGGAAAAAAAACAAUGAAAUGAUUCAAGGUUUGCUGUAACAUCCUGGCAGAUCCUUUACCACCUAACAAUGCUGCAAUCUGAAUCCAAACACAAUCCCCAUGCAUAACAAAAACCCGCCAAACACAGAGCAUAUUCAACAUUAAUUCCCCUCGAUGCUCCUGCUCUUGACUCCCCUGCCUCUGUGCCUGCAUGGAGGACUGCUGAGAGAUGGCUUGGGUCAUCGCAGGGUCAAAGGUCAUCCCUUCAAGAGCAGGAACAUAUGUGCCUGUUCCUGUACACUCCUCCAAAUUACCAUGGUGAUUGUCUCCUUGACAGCUCCGCUGCUGUUUCAUGCUUAUCACUACCUGCUGAACAAAGGACAAACACCAGAUACAUCACCAGCUAUGUGGACAUGUGGAGAUCAACCUCCUAACUGCUACUUUCCCGAGGAUAUAAUUAUGGUGUCUCUCUGUGGGAGUGGAAGUGGAGGUGGGAGCGCUGUCUUUCCAUCAGCGACGGUGAAGCUGUAAAACUGCAUUCCAGAGUGGGAAAUGUUACACUGAUUGAAUUAAUGAAGAUGCUAUUUGAGCGUUAAGU